rnacentral:tRNA from 13 species
UCAAAAGAUAAGCUAAGUAAGCUAAUGGGCUCAUACCUCAUUUAUGAGAGUCAACCUCUCUCUUUUU